AUCCAACUGACGGGUCUGAAAUAGCACGAAACACGUGUCCUGGAU
rnacentral:hammerhead_ribozyme from 1 species